UACGGAGGGUGCGAGCGUUGUCCGGAAUCACUGGGCGUAAAGGGCGCGUAGGCGGCCUGAUAAGUAGGGGGUGAAAUCCUGCGGCUUAACCGCAGGGCUGCCUUCUAAACUGUCAGGCUAGAGCACAGUAGAGGCAGGUGGAAUUCCCGGUGUAGCGGUGGAAUGCGUAGAGAUCGGGAAGAACAUCAGUGGCGAAGGCGGCCUGCUGGGCUGUUGCUGACGCUGAGGCGCGACAGCGUGGGG
rnacentral:rRNA from 1 species